rnacentral:rRNA from 1 species
GGAUCAAUUUAUUGGCCGUGCUAUUGUACGUACUGAUUUUAUUGGUUCCUACCUUCUGACGAACCAUGAUGUCAUUAAUUUGGUGUCAUGGGGAAUCAGGACUGUUACUUUGAAAAAAUUAGAGUGUUUAAAGCAGGCUCGCGCUUGAAUACAUUAGCAUGGAAUAAUGAAAUAGGACGUUCGAUCCUAUUUUGUUGGUUUCUAGGAUUGACGUA